CGAGAAAUAAAUUGCACAGGGCGAUAUCCUUUUCCGUCGAGGUUCUGUGUCAAAAUUGCUCCGAUUCCUUCCUUGCAAGAGUCAACCCAGAUUUGAAAAUCUUUGUCCAUCUCAGGGCCUUUUGCUGUUGUUCUCCCCAUUCAAAGGUGGCAUUUUUGCGAAGUAGUGCUGUGAGAGGUGCGACGACUAGUUGGUAGUUGGGCACAAAUUUGCGAAAAAAUCCACAUAGGCCAAGGAGUUGUUGCAGAGGUGUCAUUUUUCCAUUUUCUCCAAUUUUGUGGCCAAGAAGCUCUAUUUCAGUUGCUGCAACUUCCAGUUUGCCUGGGUUUAUUGUGAGUCCUGCUUCAUGAAGUCUUUGGAGAACGAUUUGGAGAUGUUUCACAUGCUCUUCAAGAGAAUUUGAAUACACACAGAUGUCGUCAUAGAAAGAGGUGACAAAUUUGUAGUUGAGUCCUCUAAGUACUUU